GGAGUCUAGCAUGUGCGCAAGUCACUGGGAUUCUGCUAAACCCAGGGGCGCAGUGAAAGCGCGGGGCGCAGCCCCCGGCUCCGCGCCGGGGGCGGGCCGCCGAGAUAAGGGAGGACGGCCGUCGCACGCUCCGCAACGGGGCGGCCGGCCAGCACUCCCGGGGCGCCUCGGCCUCGGCCGCAGGCGCACCCGGAGCGCACACGUUGGGACCCGAAAGAUGGUGAACUAUGCCCGGCCAGGACGAAGUCAGGGGAAACCCUGAUGGAGGUCCGCAGCGAUUCUGACGUGCAAAUCGAUCGUCAGAGCUGGGUAUAGGGGCGAAAGACUAAUCGAACCAUCUAGUAGCUGGUUCCCUCCGAAGUUUCCCUCAGGAUAGCUGGCGCCGGGUUGGAAAGGGCCAGUCUCAUCCGGUAAAGCGAAUGAUUAGAGGCCUUGGGGCCGAAACGACCUCAACCUAUUCUCAAACUUUAAAUGGGUGAGAUCUCCGGCUUGCCUGAGCGAAGCCGCGAGAACCUGGAUGACGGUGCCAAGUGGGCCAAUUUUGGUAAGCAGAACUGGCGCUGUGGGAUGAACCAAACGCCGGGUUAAGGCGCCUAAACCGGAGCUCAUGGGAGACCAUGAAAGGCGUUGGUUGCUUAAGACAGCAGGACGGUGGCCAUGGAAGUCGGAAUCCGCUAAGGAGUGUGUAACAACUCACCUGCCGAAGCAACUAGCCCUGAAAAUGGAUGGCGCUAAAGCUCCGUGCCUAUACCCGGCCGCCGGAAGGCAGGGCCACAUGGAGCUAUCAUGAAGCCCCGGCGAGUAGGAGGGCGCGGCGGUGAGCGCGGAAGGGUCUGGGCGUGAGCCCGCCUGGAGCCGCCGCCGGUGCAGAUCUUGGUGGUAGUAGCAAAUACUCAAGCGAGGGCCUUGAGGGCUGAUGCGGAGAAGGGUUUCGUGUGAACAGCCGUUGCACACGAGUCAGUCGAUCCUAAGCCCUAGGAGAGAUCCGAUGUCGAUGCGGCGGGGUGGCGACUCCCCGCCCGAGCAGGGCGAAAGGGAAUCCGGUUCCUAUUCCGGAACCCGGCAGCGGAACCGAACCGUCGGGCCCUCGCAAGAGAAGCUCGUCGGGGUAACCCAAAGGGACCCGGAGACGCCGUCGGGAGACCCGGGCAGAGUUUUCUGUUCUGCAUAAGCGUUCGAGUUCCCUGGAAUCCUCUAGCAGGGAGAUAGGGUUUGGAACGCGAAGAGCACCGCAGUUGCGGCGGUGUCCGGGUCGUCCCCUCGGACCUUGAAAAUCCGGGAGAGGGCUACGCGGAGGUGUCGCGCCGGCUCGUACCCAUAUCCGCAGCAGGUCUCCAAGGUGAGGAGCCUCUAGUCG
rnacentral:rRNA from 1 species